AAGACUUAACAUCACCAUGUCUUUCUCUGCAAAGACACCCCAUUCAUCAAUAAGUUAUUUCAACCAUGCUUUCCAUUUCACCUCACACACGAUUCAUUCCAGAAUUUACCAAAUUAUCUCUCUCAAGAAAAAGCUCAAUCUUAGACAAAAUAAACAGCAGCAACAUUCAACCAAAGGCCUCUUUCCUUCAUCCACGCAAAUUCAUUUUCAUGAGGGAAAACUCAAAGCCAAGAUGAAACAAGAACAUCCGUCUAGCCCAUUCUCCUUUCCAACAAGCAAGUAGGAUCAAAUACUCACUUAAAUUUCUCACAAGGCUUUGUGAACCAAGGGGAUUAGCGCUGCUUCUCCGAGAUGAAUUUAUGUGAUUAUGAUCUUCAGGCUUUGCCUAACCAGGUUGGCUGGCUGGUGCUGACGGGACUGAGCUGAGGCUAAUGUUCAAUUUCUAUAUAGACUUCCGUUGUAGUAAUAAUUCUUAUACACCUUUUGUUUUCUCAACUUAAGAUGACUUCAUGUUGAGCUUCAAUUUCAAAUUUCUAGUUGUAUGUUAAUGAACGUCGGUUGUCAGAAACAUGAAACAAAACUUGUGAUCCAAAGGGGCCUAGCCCGACUCUCUAUCUUAUUAUUCGGGUUUUAACAAGGUUGUUCCUUGUUUAUUUCUA